rnacentral:rRNA from 1 species
CUGCUGCCUCCCGUAGGAGUUUGGACCGUGUCUCAGUUCCAAUGUGGGGGACCUUCCUCUCAGAACCCCUACGCAUCGUCGGCUUGGUGGGCCGUUGCCCCACCAACUACCUAAUGCGCCGCAUGCCCAUCCGUGACCCGGGGUCGCCCCCUUUGGCCGGCAGGGGAUGUCCCCUCCCGGCAUUAUGUUGUAUUAGGCGGGAUUUCUCCCGGUUAUCCAUCUGUCCACGGCCAGGGUUGCAUACGUGUUACUCACCCGUGCGCCGGUCGCCGGCG